CGAAGGUGUACUGUGAGGUAUGCUGGAGGUAUCAGAAGUGCGAAUGCUGACAUAAGUAACGAUAAAGCGGGUGAAAAGCCCGCUCGCCGGAAGACCAAGGGUUCCUGUCCAACGUUAAUCGGGGCAGGGUGAGUCGACCCCUAAGGCGAGGCCGAAAGGCGUAGUCGAUGGGAAACAGGUUAAUAUUCCUGUACUUGGUGUUACUGCGAAGGGGGGACGGAGAAGGCUAUGUUGGCCGGGCGACGGUUGUCCCGGUUUAAGCGUGUAGGUGUGUGCUCCAGGCAAAUCCGGAGCGCUUUAACACUGAGGCGUGAUGACGAGGCACUACGGUGCUGAAGCAACAAAUGCCCUGCUUCCAGGAAAAGCCUCUAAGCAUCAGGUAACACGAAAUCGUACCCCAAACCGACACAGGUGGUCAGGUAGAGAAUACCAAGGCGCUUGAGAGAACUCGGGUGAAGGAACUAGGCAAAAUGGUGCCGUAACUUCGGGAGAAGGCACGCUGGUGUGUAGGUGAAGCGACUUGCUCGCGGAGCUGAAACCAGUCGAAGAUACCAGCUGGCUGCAACUGUUUAUUAAAAACACAGCACUGUGCAAACACGAAAGUGGACGUAUACGGUGUGACGCCUGCCCGGUGCCGGAAGGUUAAUUGAUGGGGUUAUCGCAAGAGAAGCUCCUGAUCGAAGCCCCGGUAAACGGCGGCCGUAACUAUAACGGUCCUAAGGUAGCGAAAUUCCUUGUCGGGUAAGUUCCGACCUGCACGAAUGGCGUAAUGAUGGCCAGGCUGUCUCCACCCGAGACUCAGUGAAAUUGAACUCGCUGUGAAGAUGCAGUGUACCCGCGGCAAGACGGAAAGACCCCGUGAACCUUUACUACAGCUUGACACUGAACAUUGAGCCUUGAUGUGUAGGAUAGGUGGGAGGCUUUGAAGCGUGGACGCCAGUCUGCGUGGAGCCAACCUUGAAAUACCACCCUUUAAUGUUUGAUGUUCUAACCUGGCGCCGUGAUCCGGCGUGGGGACAGUGUCUGGUGGGUAGUUUGACUGGGGCGGUCUCCUCCCAAAGUGUAACGGAGGAGCACGAAGGUCAGCUAAUCCUGGUCGGACAUCAGGAGGUUAGUGCAAUGGCAUAAGCUGGCUUGACUGCGAGCGUGACGGCGCGAGCAGGUGCGAAAGCAGGUCAUAGUGAUCCGGUGGUUCUGUAUGGAAGGGCCAUCGCUCAACGGAUAAAAGGUACUCCGGGGAUAACAGGCUGAUACCGCCCAAGAGUUCAUAUCGACGGCGGUGUUUGGCACCUCGAUGUCGGCUCAUCACAUCCUGGGGCUGAAGUAGGUCCCAAGGGUAUGGCUGUUCGCCAUUUAAAGUGGUACGCGAGCUGGGUUUAGAACGUCGUGAGACAGUUCGGUCCCUAUCUGCCGUGGGCGCUGGAGAAUUGAGGGGGGUUGCUCCUAGUACGAGAGGACCGGAGUGAACGCAUCACUGGUGUUCGGGUUGUCAUGCCAAUGGCACUGCCCGGUAGCUAAAUGCGGAAGAGAUAAGUGCUGAAAGCAUCUAAGCACGAAACUUGCCCCGAGAUGAGUUCUCCCUGAGACUUAGAGUCUCCUGAAGGAACGUUGAAGACGACGACGUUGAUAGGCCGGGUGUGUAAGCGCAGCGAUGCGUUGAGCUAACCGGUACUAAUGAACCGUGAGGCUUAACCUU
rnacentral:rRNA from 1 species